AUUGAACGCUGGCGGCAGGCCUAACACAUGCAAGUCGAACGAGUGGCGGACGGGUGAGUAAUGUCUGGGAAACUGCCCGCUGGAGGGGGAUAACUACUGGAAACGGUAGCUAAUACCGCAUACCAUCGGAUGUGCCCAGAUGGGAUUAGCUAGUAGGUGGGGUAACGGCUCACCUAGGCGACGAUCCCUAGCUGGUCUGAGUGGAUGACCGGCCACACUGAAACUGAGACACGGGCCAGAAUGCUACGGAAGGCAGCAGUGGGGAAUAUUGCACAAUGGGCGCAAGCCUGAUGCAGACAUGCCGCGUGUAUGAAGAAGGCCUUCGGGUUGUAAAGUACUUUCAGCGAGGAGGCGUUACUCGCAGAAGAAGCACCGGCUAACUCCGUGCCAGCAGCCGCGGUAAUAC
rnacentral:rRNA from 1 species